rfam:Myroides odoratus DSM 2801 chromosome, whole genome shotgun sequence.
AAUAAAUGGAGAUAAGAAACCAUUCAAAAACGAGGCGUAAACCGAAAAGCCAAACGAGUAGGUCAUGG